rnacentral:rRNA from 1 species
AUUGAACGCUGGCGGCAGGCCUAACACAUGCAAGUCGAGCGAGCGGCGGGCGGGUGAGUAAUGAAUGGGGAUCUGCCUGAUGGAGGGGGAUCACUACUGGAAACUGUAGCUAAUUCCGCCUACCAUCAGCUGAGCCCAUUUGGGAUUAGCUUGUGGUUGCGGUAAAGGCUCACCUAGGCGACGAUCCCUAGCUGGUCUGAGAGGAUGAUCAGUCACACUGGGACUGAGACACGGCCCAGACUCCUACGGGAGGCAGCAGUGGGGAAUAUUGGACAAUGGGCGCAAGCCUGAUGCAGCCAUGCCGCGUGUAUGAAGAAGGCCUUCGGGUUGUAAAGUACUUUCAGUCGGGAGGCGUUACCGACAGAAGAAGCACCGGCUAACUCCGUGCCAGCAGCCGCGGUAAUAC